UUUUUGACAUAAAAAUAAAUUUCAAGUGCAAAUAAACUGAAUAAAAUGAUCGUCAGAUAUCAGUGUUUUACUAAAAACAACAUAAAAUUAGAUACGAUGAAUUUCGGGUAGUUGGUCCAGUUGCGAAACAAUGUCGCCGUUUAGAUGUAGGACAUGGACAGUAUUGCCUAGUGACUGCGCUUUUAUUCCACUUCUACUCAAAUGAGUGACCGCGAGAAGGACUGGGUACCCUUGGCGGCCGGCAUAGUCCUCGGCUUGGGAGCGUUGGCCCUGCUCUACAAGUACUGGGGCGGCUCUGGCGAAAAACGCCCGGCCCUCCCGGUCAACAAGUGCGUCAACAAGCAGAUGGGCUCUCCGUGCCCUUACAAGUGCGAGCCACAGUGCCCGCAAAAAUGAAGAUACAUUUUGACAGUCUGACAGUUAUCCAGGCAGGGAGAAAAAUGACAGCGUCUUUUUGACAUCAAAAUAAAUUUCAAGUGCAAAAACAUGUAAACUGAAUAAAAUUAUCCUCAGAUAUAGUCUGUGUUUUACUAAAAACAACGUAAAUCGUAAACGUAGUCGCAAUGAAUUUCGGGUAGUUGUCCCAGUUGUGAAACAAUGUUGCCGUUACGAUGUAGGACAUGGACAGUAUUGCCUAGUGACUGUAUACAACUAUCUAGGCACUAUAGGCCCCUGGAACGCAGCCCUAGCUCUUCUCCUACUAGGGUACUACGGCAAGUAUCACUUCUGGGGCUCCAACUGUAGAGGCGGUCCUCUAGAUAAUCUAGAUGGUCGAGUAUGGGGGAUGGAAGGCAAAUGCCCACCGAGGAAGAAAGCGAAACCGCCACCGCCUUGCAGUGCGAGCUGCAAGUGUUUUGAACAGCCUAGGAUUUUGAAGCACCGAUUGAAAUGGCCUGAAGACCCAAAACCUGCCACUGAUAGUUAAGAUAAACAUCGUAGAAAAAGGAUUACCAAAGAAAUCGAAGUUUUAGAGGUACUAUUUGAUCAUAACAAAAUAAUAUAAAUUCUGUGAUUUUUUAUUUUAUACAUAUAAAACUUGUAAUUGUUCCUUGAAGAAACUUUAAGCCAGAUGGACCUGAAUAAUAACAAAGUUAAU